AUUGAACGCUGGCGGCAUGCUUUACACAUGCAAGUCGAACGGUAACAGGCCUUCGGGCGCUGACGAGUGGCGAACGGGUGAGUAAUGCAUCGGAACGUGCCCAGUCGUGGGGGAUAACGCAGCGAAAGCUGUGCUAAUACCGCAUACGAUCUAUGGAUGAAAGAGGGGGACCGUAAGGCCUCGCGCGAUUGGAGCGGCCGAUGUCAGAUUAGGUAGUUGGUGGGGUAAAGGCUCACCAAGCCAACGAUCUGUAGCUGGUCUGAGAGGACGACCAGCCACACUGGAACUGAGACACGGUCCAGACACCUACGGGAGGCAGCAGUGGGGAAUUUUGGACAAUGGGCGCAAGCCUGAUCCAGCAAUGCCGCGUGCAGGAAGAAGGCCUUCGGGUUGUAAACUGCUUUUGUACGGAACGAAACGGCGAGCUCUAAUACAGUUUGCUAAUGACGGUACCGUAAGAAUAAGCACCGGCUAACUACGUGCCAGCAGCCGCCGUAAAAC
rnacentral:rRNA from 1 species